UUGGUAUAGCUGCUGUAAAUUUGGUAGUUGGCACGGGAACGUUACAGGUGUGGGUGUGUUAAGUGUUAGUGUGUGCUUUAUGGGGAGGCGGAUGUAGUUUAGGUACACAGGUUAAAAGCAUAAGAAAGCUUCAAGAUAAGGUACGGGAGCAAGGACAUGAUGAUGUUGUGUUGGGUCGGUAGCAUUGGGGGACGCCGAUAUUGGUUGUCGCUACCUAGAAAAAGUAAGUUGAUCGCCGAUGGUGGUGAUGGUCGGGAGACUCCGAGGGGAAUGGAUUUGGUUAGGGAUAUUGGUGACGGUAAAUGAUGGUAUAUGUGUGUGUGUGUGUGGCCUAUUAGGGGUCGAAAGAUAGGCGGUUUAUUGGUGGUCGCCGAUACUGGUGACGGAUGUGAAUAUUUAUACGUUUGGAAUGACGUU
rnacentral:lncRNA from 1 species